rnacentral:lncRNA from 10 species
GGUGAACGUACCUGUUUUGAGCCUCUGUAAUAAUCUACAUAAAUCAUGCUGAAGAACUGAAUGAACAUAGUAAAAGUGGAGAUGGUAGGGAAGAAGAUGUAAGACACAUUUAGAAGAGAGAGUUGAUGAAAUUUGGUGACUGAUAUGGAUUGGAGUAUAAGAAAGAACACAAUCAAGAAUAAAGCAUAUUUUAUGCUUGUAGAAUAAAAGAAAUGCUUACAGUAAACAAGAUUUAUAGAACAUAGGUGGAAUAAGAUAAGCAUAUUCGGGAAAGAAGCUGACUUCAUUUUGGAAGUGUGGACACAUGCAUCUUGCAGAAAUUGUCAGUAGAAACAAAGAGGGCUGGGAAUACGGAUUUGGAAGUCAUUGUGCCUCAGUGAUAGUUUAUACCCAGAAAUGAAAAUGAUUUCCCAGGGAGAUGGUACAGAGUGGAAGGAGAAGCAGGCGAAGGAUGGAACUGUGGACAACAGCCAUAUGUGUGUGGCUGGUAGAAAAUGUGGAAGAGAAAACAUCAAGCUGACAAACGGAGGAAGCAGCAAAGAGUUACGAGAGUCGUAAUAGUUUACUGCUUACAGAGAUUAGAGUCGCACUGAAUUCUUUACUGCUCAAGGUCCAAAAACCCUCUCUUGGGGUCUGGAUCGGGACCCCUGUCCUGUAACAUAUUUCUGGUGGACCAUGGAAGGGAUGAUACUGAAGAGACCCCCAACCCAAAGGAAAAUCAUCUGUGUGCACCAGUUGGC